UGGGGAAUAUUGGACAAUGGGCGAAAGCCUGAUCCAGCCAUGCCGCGUGUGUGAAGAAGGUCUUCGGAUUGUAAAGCACUUUAAGUUGGGAGGAAGGGCAGUAAGCGAAUACCUUGCUGUUUUGACGUUACCGACAGAAUAAGCACCGGCUAACUCUGUGCCAGCAGCCGCGGUAAUACAGAGGGUGCAAGCGUUAAUCGGAAUUACUGGGCGUAAAGCGCGCGUAGGUGGUUCGUUAAGUUGAAUGUGAAAGCCCCGGGCUCAACCUGGGAACUGCAUCCAAAACUGGCGAGCUAGAGUAGGGCAGAGGGUGGUGGAAUUUCCUGUGUAGCGGUGAAAUGCGUAGAUAUAGGAAGGAACACCAGUGGCGAAGGCGACCACCUGGGCUCACACUGACACUGAGGUGCGAAAGCGUGGGGAGCAAACAGG
rnacentral:rRNA from 1 species